rnacentral:rRNA from 1 species
GACGAACGCUGGCGGCGUGCUUAACACAUGCAAGUCGAACGGAAAGGCCCUGCUUUUGUGGGGUGCUCGAGUGGCGAACGGGUGAGUAACACGUGAGUAACCUGCCCUUGACUUUGGGAUAACUUCAGGAAACUGGGGCUAAUACCGGAUAGGAGCUCCUGCUGCAUGGUGGGGGUUGGAAAGUUUCGGCGGUUGGGGAUGGACUCGCGGCUUUUCAGCUUGUUGGUGGGGUAGUGGCUUACCAAGGCUUUGACGGGUAGCCGGCCUGAGAGGGUGACCGGUCACAUUGGGACUGAGAUACGGCCCAGACUCCUACGGGAGGCAGCAGUGGGGAAUAUUGCACAAUGGGCGGAAGCCUGAUGCAGCAACGCCGCGUGCGGGAUGACGGCCUUCGGGUUGUAAACCGCUUUCGCCUGUGACGAAGCGUGAGUGACGGUAAUGGGUAAAGAAGCACCGGCUAACUACGUG